rnacentral:rRNA from 1 species
UUUAGACAUGCAAGUCGAACGAGAACCUUCGGGGUUCUAGUGGCGGACGGGUGAGGUAACACGUAGGGUAAUCUACCUCAAGGAGGGGGAUAAUCGAAGAGAUUCGAGGUAAUCCCGCAUAUGGUCUUCGGACUGAAAGCUCCGGCGCCUUGAGAUGAGCCUGCGGUGUAUUAGCUAGUUGGUAGGGUAAUGGCCUACCAAGGCGACGAUACAUAGCUGGUCUGAGAGGAUGAUCAGCCACACUGGAACUGAGACACGGUCCAGACUCU